CCUACGGGUGGCAGCAGUGGGGAAUAUUGGACAAUGGGGGGAACCCUGAUCCAGCGACGCCGCGUGAGUGAAGAAGUAUCUCGGUAUGUAAAGCUCUAUCAGCAGGGAAGAAAAUGACGGUACCUGACUAAGAAGCCACGGCUAACUACGUGCCAGCAGCCGCGGUAAUACGUAGGGGGCAAGCGUUAUCCGGAUUUACGGGGGGUAAAGGGAGCGUAGGCGGUGCAGCAGGUCUGAUGGGAAAGGUGGGGGCCCAACACCGGGACUGCAGUGGAAACUGUUGAACUGGAGUACACGAGAGGUAUGCGGAAUGCGUGGUGGAGCGGUGAAAUGCAUAGAUAUUAGGCAGAACACCGGUGGCGAAGGCAGCAUACUGGACGGUAACUGACGCUGAGGCUCGAAAGCGUGGGGAGCGAACAGGAUGAGAUACCCGGGUAGUC
rnacentral:rRNA from 1 species